AUAUAGAUUAAGUUAUUAAGGGCGCACGGUGGAUGCCUUGGCACUAGAAGCCGAUGAAGGACGUUACUAACGACGAUAUGCUUUGGGGAGCUGUAAGUAAGCUUUGAUCCAGAGAUUUCCGAAUGGGGAAACCCAGCACGAGUUAUGUCGUGUUAUCUGCAUGUGAAUACAUAGCAUGCAAGAA
rnacentral:rRNA from 1 species